rnacentral:rRNA from 1 species
GAUGAACGCUGGCGGCGUGCCUAAUACAUGCAAGUCGAGCGAACAGACGAGGAGCUUGCUCCUCUGACGUUAGCGGCGGACGGGUGAGUAACACGUGGAUAACCUACCUAUAAGACUGGGAUAACUUCGGGAAACCGGAGCUAAUACCGGAUAAUAUAUUGAACCGCAUGGUUCAAUAGUGAAAGACGGUUUUGCUGUCACUUAUAGAUGGAUCCGCGCCGCAUUAGCUAGUUGGUAAGGUAACGGCUUACCAAGGCAACGAUGCGUAGCCGACCUGAGAGGGUGAUCGGCCACACUGGAACUGAGACACGGUCCAGACUCCUACGGUAGGCAGCAGUAGGGAAUCUUCCGCAAUGGGCGAAAGCCUGACGGAGCAACGCCGCGUGAAUGAUGAAGGUCUUCGGAUCGUAAAGCUCUGUUAUUAGGGAAGAACAAAUGUGUAAGUAACUAUGCACGUCUUGACGGUACCUAAUCAGAAAGCCACGGCUAACUACGUG